CAGUAGCCGCGGUAAUACGUAGGUCCCGAGCGUUGUCCGGAUUUAUUGGGCGUAAAGCGAGCGCAGGCGGUUAGAUAAGUCUGAAGUUAAAGGCUGUGGCUUAACCAUAGUACGCUUUGGAAACUGUUUAACUUGAGUGCAAGAGGGGAGAGUGGAAUUCCAUGUGUAGCGGUGAAAUGCGUAGAUAUAUGGAGGAACACCGGUGGCGAAAGCGGCUCUCUGGCUUGUAACUGACGCUGAGGCUCGAAAGCGUGGGGAGCAAACAGGAUUAGAUACCCCAGUAGUCCCUGUCUCUUAUACC
rnacentral:rRNA from 1 species